GGUCCCUUGCUCGGGUCAGGCCCGGCUUUGCUGAACCGAGGGCGCCCCCUCGCGGCCGCUCGCAGCCCGGCUUUCCGGGAGAGACGCCGCUUGGCCGCCCCCGGCCCGGCUCAGGCGAAGCAGCCGGCCAUGAAAUCGGCCUUUGUCACCGUGGGCACGACCAGCUUUGAGGAGCUGAUCGCCGCGGUGACCGCCCCGGAGACUCUCCAGGUCUUGCGGAGCCUCGGCUACGGCAGACUCGUGCUGCAGGUCGGCAGAGCGGCGGCGGCCCCGGCCCCGUUCCGCACGGCGGCGUUUACACUGGACGUGUUCCGGUUCAAGGAGUCGCUGGCCGAGGACCUUGAGAACGCGGAUCUAGUGAUCAGCCACGCGGGUGCAGGCACUUGUUUGGAGACUCUGGAAAAAGGGAAACCACUCUUGGUGGUUGUAAAUGAAAAGCUGAUGAACAAUCAUCAGCUAGAAUUAGCCAGGCAACUAUACAGAGAUGGACACCUCUUCUAUUGCACUUCACCCUUUUGGAGUCAUUGAAGUCAAUCGAUUUGUCAACACUGAAACCCUUUUCUCCUGGACAGCCAGAAAAGUUUGCUGCAUUCUUGGACAGAGUUAUUGGAUUUGAAUAAUUAAUCCAGAAAAAUGAAAAUGUGCAAAUGUCUCUAUCAUCUCCAUCCCAGAGGUUAUCGCAGAUUAGAAGGUGAUAAAAACGCACUCACGAUGACGUGUUUUCCAAGCGCAUGCAGUCCUCCUGCACUGAUAGGGCACAGCUGAAUGCGUGGAGGCAUACAGUGACAGAGGCCAGGAAAGCAUACAGUGAGCACGAUGAGAAGAGGCAGGAGGCGAUGCUGAGGCUAAUGGGGGAGCAAACGGACAUGCUCAGGUGUCUGGGGGAGCUGCAGGAAAGGCAACGAGCACAGACCUUCACUGCAUCCACUAUAUAACCACCUGCCCUCCUCCCCAAGUUCCAUAUCCUCACCCAGACGCCCAAGAACAUGGGGUCGGGGGAGGCUCCAGGCACUCAGCCACUCCACUCCAGAGGAUGGCCCAAGCAA